UACAGAGGGUGCAAGCGUUAAUCGGAAUGACUGGGCGUAAAGCGUGCGUAGGUGGUUGUGUAAGACAGGCGUGAAAUGCCCGGGCUUAACCUGGGGAUGGCGCUUGUGACUGCACGGCUAGAAUGCAUCAGAGGGGGGUAGAAUUCCACGUGUAGCAGUGAAAUGCGUAGAGAUGUGGAGGAAUACCGAUGGCGAAGGCAGCCCCCUGGGGUGUGAUUGACACUGAGGCACGAAAGCGUGGGGAGCAAACAGG
rnacentral:rRNA from 1 species